AUGCUCGCUUCAGCAGCACAUAUACUAAAACUGGAGCAAGACAGGGAAGAUUAGAAUGGCCCCUGAGCAACGAUGACAUGCAAAUUUAGUAAGGUGUUCCCUGUUUUC
rnacentral:snRNA from 1 species